UAACGGCGAGUGAAGCGGCAAGAGCUCAAAUUUGAAAGCUGGCUCCUUCGGAGUCCGCAUUGUAAUUUGCAGAGGAUGCUUUGGGUGCGGCCCCCGUCUAAGUGCCCUGGAACGGGCCGUCAGAGAGGGUGAGAAUCCCGUCUUGGGCGGGGUGUCCGUGCCCGUGUAAAGCUCCUUCGACGAGUCGAGUUGUUUGGGAAUGCAGCUCUAAAUGGGUGGUAAAUUUCAUCUAAAGCUAAAUACUGGCCGGAGACCGAUAGCGCACAAGUAGAGUGAUCGAAAGAUGAAAAGCACUUUGAAAAGAGAGUUAAACAGCACGUGAAAUUGUUGAAAGGGAAGCGCUUGCGACCAGACUCGCCCGCGGGGUUCAGCCGGCAUUCGUGCCGGUGUACUUCCCCGUGGGCGGGCCAGCGUCGGUUUGGGCGGCCGGUCAAAGGCCCCUGGAAUGUAGUACCCUCCGGGGUACCUUAUAGCCAGGGGUGCAAUGCGGCCAGCCUGGACCGAGGAACGCGCUUCGGCACGGACGCUGGCAUAAUGGUCGUAAACGACCCGUCUUGAAACACGGACCAAGGAGUCUAACAUCUACGCGAGUGUUCGGGUGUCAAACCCGUGCGCGCAGUGAAAGCGAACGGAGGUGGGAGCCCCCUCGCGGGGCGCACCAUCGACCGAUCCUGAUGUCUUCGGAUGGAUUUGAGUAAGAGCGUAAAUGUGGGGACCCGAAAGAUGGUGAACUAUGCCUGAAUAGGGCGAAGCCAGAGGAGACUCUGGUGGAGGCUCGCAGCGGUUCUGACGUGCAAAUCGAUCGUCAAAUUUGGGUAUAGGGGCGAAAGACUAAUCGAACCAUCUAGUAGCUGGUUCCUGCCGAAGUUUCCCUCAGGAUAGCAGUAACGCAAAAUCAGUUUUAUGAGGUAAAGCGAAUGAUUAGAGGCAUUGGGGUUGAAACAACCUUAACCUAUUCUCAAACUUUAAAUAUGUAAGAAGCCCUUGUUGCUUAGUUGAACUUGGGCAUUAGAAUGGAACGUUACUAAUGGGCCAUUUUUGGUAAGCAAAACUGGCAAUCCGGGAUGAACCGAACCCCAGGUUAAGGUGCCGGAAUGCACCCUCAUCCAAACCCUCAAAAGGUGUUUGUUCUUUUAAACAGCCCUACGGGGGCCAUGGAAGUCCGAAUCCCCUAGGGGUUUUUUAACAACUCCCGGGCCCAAAGAACUACCCCCAAAAAGGAAUGGGGCCCAAGCGGGCUUCCCCUUCCUUCCCCUCGGGGGAAAAAAAACGCCCCGAAAAAAA
rnacentral:rRNA from 1 species